rnacentral:rRNA from 1 species
AGUGGAUGGGGAACAACCUAGUUGUGCGUGUGUAAAGGUAGUGCCAAGAAAAGCGGUGAUCAUGAUGAAAAUCAAUUCCCGGUACCCGAAACCGACACAGGUGGGCAAGUAGAGAAUACUAAGGGGCGCGAGGUAACUCUCUCCAAGGAACUCGGCAAAAUGACCCCGUAACUUAGGGAGAAGGGGUGCCACCGAGAGGUGGUCGCAGUGAAGAGGCCCAGGCGACUGUUUAGCAAAAACAUAGGUCUCUGCAAACUCGAAAGAGGAGGUAUAGGGGCUGACGCCUGCCCAGUGCCGGAAGGUUAAAGAAGUUGGUCAGUCUUAGGAUGAAGCUAGCGACUGGAGCCCCGGUGAACGGCGGCCGUAACUAUAACGGUCCUAAGGUAGCGAAAUUCCUUGUCGGGUAAGUUCCGACCCGCACGAAAGGCGUAACGAUCUGGGCGCUGUCUCGGAGAGAGGCUCGGCGAAAUAGGAUUGUCUGUGAAGAUACGGACUACCUGCAUUUGGACAGAAAGACCCUAUGAAGCUUUACUAUAGCUUGGAAUUGUGUUCGGGCUUCCUGUGCGCAGGAUAGGUGGGAGGCGUAGAAGGUAUUCUUGUGGGGAUACUGGAGCCAACGGUGAGAUACCACUCUCAGGAGGCUAGAAUUCUAACUUAAUUAAGGACAGUUUCAGGUGGGUAGUUUGACUGGGGCGGUCGCCUCCAAAAAGGUAACGGAGGCGUACAAAGGUUCCCUCAGACUGGUUGGAAAUCAGUCGCAGAGUGCAAAGGCAGAAGGGAGCUUGACUGCGAGAAGUACAGUUCGAGCAGGGUGGAAACACGGUCUUAGUGAUCCGACGGUGCUGUGUGGAAGGGCCGUCGCUCAACGGAUAAAAGUUACUCUAGGAUAACAGGCUGAUCUCCCCCAAGAGUUCACAUCGACGGGGAGGUUUGGCACCUCGAUGUCGGCUCAUCGCAACCUGGGGCGGAGGUACGUCCCAAGGGUUGGGCUGUUCGCCCAUUAAAGCGGUACGUGAGCUGGGUUCAGAACGUCGUGAGACAGUUCGGUCCAUAUCCGAUGUAGGCGUGAGAAUAUUGAGAGGAGCCUUCCUUAGUACGAGAGGACCGGGAAGGACGCACCGCUGGUGUACCUGUUAUGAUGCCAAUUGUAAACGCAGGGUAGCCAAGUGCGGAGAGGAUAACCGCUGAAAGCAUCUAAGCGGGAAGCCCACCUCAAGAUGAGUAUUCUGGUGUAAGGUCACGGGAAGACGACCCGUAAAUAGGCACGAGGUGGAAGUGCAGAGAUGUAUGAAGCCGAAGUGUACUAAUAGACCGUCGGCUUGAC